rnacentral:rRNA from 1 species
UGGGGAAUAUUGCACAAUGGGCGAAAGCCUGAUGCAGCAACGCCGCGUGAGUGAUGAAGGCCUUCGGGUUGUAAAGCUCUGUCUUCUGGGACGAUAAUGACGGUACCAGAGGAGGAAGCCACGGCUAGCUACGUGCCAGCAGCCGCGGUAAUACGUAGGUGGCAAGCGUUGUCCGGAUUUACUGGGCGUAAAGGAUGCGUAGGCGGAUACUUAAGUCAGAUGUGAAAAUCCCGGGCUUAACUUGGGAACUGCAUUUGAAACUGGGUAUCUAGAGUGCGGGAGAGGAUAGUGGAAUUCCUAGUGUAGCGGUGAAAUGCGUAGAUAUCAGAUAGAACACCAAUGGCG